UACAGAGGGGGCAAGCGUUGUUCGGAAUUACUGGGCGUAAAGGGCGCGUAGGCGGCCUGUUAAGUCGAACGUGAAAUCCCCGGGCUCAACCCGGGAACUGCGUCCGAUACUGGAAGGCUUGAAUCCGGGAGAGGGAUGCGGAAUUCCAGGUGUAGCGGUGAAAUGCGUAGAUAUCUGGAGGAACACCGGUGGCGAAGGCGGCGAUCCUGGACCGGUAUUGACGCUGAGGCGCGAAAGCCAGGG
rnacentral:rRNA from 1 species